AUUAAUUGUCAAAACUACAAUGCAUAAAACUCGAAAACCAAUUAAUUUGGUGAUCCCUACUAUCAUGACUAAAAUAGUGAAUUAUAGAUUAUUUGCAGCAGGUUUCUUAGAAAGCACUAACUUAACCUGCUAGGUGCAGAUAUCGUGACAGAAUGUUUUGCCAAUUUCCUAAUACUGCCACUUUAUGUAAUAAAAUUAAUAACUUUUUGUCUCCCUAAACAAUUUUGAUGAAUUUUAUGCCGUUACAUUACCCUCACCUUAAGAGCAAAGCCUCCUGGCUGCAAAAAAUUGAAAACGUACAAUGCGUAAUGGAGAAAAAAAACUGAGCACUUUCGUAGCUAUCACGGGACGCAACCAAAUCCAAUACCGGAUCAGGCUAAUCAACAGGCCUCCAGGGGUUGCAAAAAAAAAUCAAAAAAAAAAUGUUCAGGAUUAUGAGCGUUCUGCCGCUGUUUGUAAAAUGUCCAGUUUCUCGUCCAAGGAGAGUCCUCGAAGCGAAGGUGCAUCCGUCAGAUCCUUUACUUUUUCACCCAGGCGCUGUUGUAACAUCCGCGCAAUUGAUGCGCCUUUGGUUGCGAUGACUAUAGGCUGAGACGUUCGUAGUCGUGCUUCCAUGUAAAAAAAGCCAAACAUGGCCUGAAGAUAGUUCUGUGGGGCGCCCUCAGGUUCCCACAUUAACCCAUGUAAAGAGUUCUGAAAUAGGUAGGUUUUCAUCAUUGCCGAGGUGGUCGGCGGUUCCACGCGAAAGUACUGUGUUUUCUGGAGCUGCAACUUACAAUGUAUAAAUGAAGAAAGGGUCAAGGCUAAUCAAAGGCCUCUGGGUGUUGCAAUAAGAAAUUAACAAACAAACAACAACAAAAUGUCCAAAAUUUAUCUAGUCCAAAGAAAUAUGUAGUACUGACAGUACUACCUAGGUGUUAUUGUAAUUAUAAGCAUUAGCAAGAAAAAUGCAAGUGAAAAUUAAUAUGGAAAUCAUGAUUCCACGGUGGUAAUCUAGAAAAACAAAACAAACAAAGCUAAACUAAACAUAAGUGAAUAAAACUCAAUGGAAUAAUAUUAAAUAUAAGAUUAAGAUAUUAAUUAAAAUAGUUAAUGAAAUUAUAAAUUAAAAUUUUACUCGACAUCUACUUGAGUGCUUGCGUUUGUUAAGCUGAGUACACAUAAGCUAUUAUUAAAAUAAUAUUAUAGGUUUCUUUGAGAAACUAGGUGAAAUUGAGAUACUAAAGUUGAUACAAAAUAAUAAAAUAAAAAAUAGUUUAAAUGUAAUAUUUAGCAAUAUUGCAGUGUCCCUUCGCUAGACUGACAAACUCCCGUGAGUCUUGUCAGAUUGUUACUAGCUUCGGUAGUAGCGACUCCAAUUACAGGGCCCGUAAUCUGAACUUUACCCUACGAGAUGUCACGAGACUUGGACACAGAGCACGGAGUAAAUUCUGGUUUAAAUCUUGCUUUAAUCUUGAAUACUGGUAGCUAGCGUUCGCUAGAUAGUCUCUUGACUAGCAUGAGGCAAGAUCGAUACUAGGAGAGUGGUUUCUAAAUCUCUAAUGAUUCUCAGGUCUAUUUAUAUGAUAAGCUUGGUUACAAGAUUCUUUUAUUACAGGUAAUGAAUACAUUAUUAACUAACAGAUCCAUAAUCCGUAAAACUCAAAAUCUCAAAAUAUUUCCAAUUUAAACAUUAAAUGAUUUGUUUCCUUAAACAAUUUUGUUAAAUUUUCUCCCAUUAUAUUACGCUCACCUUAAGAGCAAAGCCUCCUGGCUGCAAAAAGUCAAAAGUUACAAUGAAGAAAACAACUGAGCACUUUCUUAGCUAUCACGUGACGCAACCAAAUCCAUUACCAGAGCAGGCUAAUCAAAAGCCCUCAAGGGGAUGCAAAAAAAUUGAAAAUGUUCAGAGUUAUUGGUGUUCCACUGCUGUCUGCAAAAUGUCUAAUUUCUCUUCGAAGGAGAGUCCUCGAAGCAAAGGUGCAUCCGCUAGGUCCCUUACGUCUUCGCACAGGCGCUGCUGUAAUAUCCGCGCAAUCGGUGCGCCUUUGGUUGCGAUGGCGGUGGUCUGGCAAGUCCGUAGUCGAACCUCCAUGUAGAAAGUGCCAAACAUGGCCUGGAGAUAAUUCUGUGCGGCGCCGUCGGGUUCCCACAUUAACCCAUGCAGAGAGUUCUGAUAAAGGUAACUCUUCAUCAUUGCCGAGGUGCUCAGUGGUUCCACACGGAAGUACUGCGUCUUUUGAAGCUGCAACUUCUUGCAGGACAUGGUAACUCGGCGCAAAUAGAACGGCUGGCUGCCAUGUUGGAAUCYGUCAACAACGAUGACAAUAUUGCAAGACAUCUUUGAAGGAACUUGUUGAAGGAACUUGUGAAGGAACUAAGAUACUGCAGAACACAAUGGUGAUCUGUAGGUUCACGGUGCGGCUUAAAUAUCAAAAGACGAAGACAGAACACGUGCGUUCCGAACAAUAACAAAAAGUUAAUUAAAGAAAUAUCUCUGAAGUCUAGUUGAUU